AUGCAGAUGGUGCCCUGUGGUCGCACUACCGUGAACAUCAAUGGGGAGAUCGGCCCUUACUUCCCCACCCUUUGUGGGGUCACACAAGGCGACCCCUUCUCCCUAUUCUUGUUCAACAUGGUGGUGGAUGCGCUUGCAGCCAUCCUGGACAAGGCUAAGGCUGCGGGCCAUAUUCGUGGGAUCUCCCUUCUCCAGUACGCCGACGACACCAUCAUGGUAGAAGGCUCGGAGACGGACAUCUCUAACCUUAAGUUCCUCAUCCUCUGCUUCCAACAAAUGUCUGGCCUCAAGAUCAACUUCGACAAGAGUGAUGUGAUGGUGAUGGGCUACUCUCGGCGGAAUGCCUGGACAUUGCCAACCGGCUUAACUGCCGCCUGGGCUCCUUCCCCACGACUUAUUGAGAACGCCCAUUAG
rnacentral:rRNA from 1 species